rnacentral:rRNA from 1 species
UGUCAGGCUAGAGUGCAGGAGAGGAAGGUAGAAUUCCCGGUGUAGCGGUGAAAUGCGUAGAGAUCGGGAGGAAUACCAGUGGCGAAGGCGGCCUUCUGGACUGACACUGACACUGAGGUGCGAAAGCGUGGGUAGCAAACAGGAUUAGAUACCCUGGUAGUCCACGCCGUAAACGAUGUCGACCAGCCGUUGGGUGCCUAGCGCACUUUGUGGCGAAGUUAACGCGAUAAGUCGACCGCCUGGGGAGUACGGCCGCAAGGUUAAAACUCAAAUGAAUUGACGGGGGCCCGCACAAGCGGUGGAGCAUGUGGUUUAAUUCGAUGCAACGCGAAGAACCUUACCUACUCUUGACAUCCUGCGAACUGGUGAGAGAUCACUGGGUGCCUUCGGGAACGCAGAGACAGGUGCUGCAUGGCUGUCGUCAGCUCGUGUUGUGAAAUGUUGGGUUAAGUCCCGUAACGAGCGCAACCCUUGUCCUUAUUUGCCAGCACGUAAUGGUGGGAACUCUAAGGAGACUGCCGGUGACAAACCGGAGGAAGGUGGGGACGACGUCAAGUCAUCAUGGCCCUUACGAGUAGGGCUACACACGUGCUACAAUGGCCGGUACAAAGGGCGGCGAACUCGCGAGAGUCAGCGAAUCCCUUAAAGCCGGUCUCAGUCCGGAUCGGAGUCUGCAACUCGACUCCGUGAAGUCGGAAUCGCUAGUAAUCGUGAAUCAGAAUGUCACGGUGAAUACGUUCCCGGGCCUUGCACACACCGCCCGU